rnacentral:rRNA from 1 species
GCCAGCAGCCGCGGUAAUUCCAGCUCCAAUAGCGUAUAUUAAAGUUGUUGUGGUUAAAAAGCUCGUAGUUGAACCUUGGGCCUGGCUGGCCGGUCCGCCUCACCGCGUGCACUGGUCCGGUCGGGCCUUUCCCUCUGCGGAACCCCAUGCCCUUCACUGGGCGUGGCGGGGAAGCAGGACGUUUACUUUGAAAAAAUUAGAGUGCUCCAGGCAGGCCUAUGCUCGAAUAUAUUAGCAUGGAAUAAUGAAAUAGGACGUGCGGUCCCAUUUUGUUGGUUUCUAGGACCGCCGUAAUGAUUAAUAGGGACAGUCGGGGGCAUCAGUAUUCAAUUGUCAGAGGUGAAAUUCUUGGAUUUAUUGAAGACUAACUACUGCGAAAGCAUUUGCCAAGGAUGUUUUCAUUAAUCAGGAACGAAAGUUAGGGGAUCGAAGACGAUCAGAUACCGUCGUAGUCUUAACCAUAAACUAUGCCGACUAGGGAUCGGGCGAUGUUAUCAUUUGACUCGCUCGGCACCUUACGAGAAAUCAAAGUGCUUGGGCUCCAGGGGGAG